AUUGAACGCUGGCGGCAGGCCUAACACAUGCAAGUCGAACGGUAACAGGAAGAAUCUUGCUUCUUUGCUGACGAGUGGCGGACGGGUGAGUAAUGUCUGGGAAACUGCCUGAUGGAGGGGGAUAACUACUGGAAACGGUAGCUAAUACCGCAUAACGUCGCAAGACCAAAAAGGGGGACCUUCGGGCCUCUUGCCAUCGGAUGUGCCCAGAUGGGAUUAGCUAGUAGGUGGGGUAACGGCUCACCUAGGCGACGAUCCCUAGCUGGUCUGAGAGGAUGACCAGCCACACUGGAACUGAGACACGGUCCAGACUCCUACGGGAGGCAGCAGUGGGGAAUAUUGCACAAUGGGCGCAAGCCUGAUGCAGCCAUGCCGCGUGUAUGAAGAAGGCCUUCGGGUUGUAAAGUACUUUCAGCGGGGAGGAAGGGAGUAAAGUUAAUACCUUGGCUCAUUGACGUUACCCGCAGAAGAAGCACCGGCUAACUCCGUG
rnacentral:rRNA from 1 species